rnacentral:rRNA from 1 species
GAUGAAUGCUGGCGGCGCGCCUAACACAUGCAAGUCGAGCGGAAAGGCCCUUCGGGGUACUCGAGCGGCGGACGGCUGAGUAACGCGUGGGAACAUGCCCCAAAGUGAGGAAUAACUGCCCGAAAGGGUAGCUAAUACCGCAUAUGAUCUUCGGAUUAAAGGAUUUAUCCGCUUUGGGAGUGGCCCGCGUACGAUUAGGUAGUUGGUGAGGUAAAGGCUCACCAAACCUACGAUCGCUAACUGGUCUGAGAGGAUGAUCAGUCAGACUGGAACUGAGACACGGUCCAGACUCCUACGGGAGGCAGCAGUGAGGAAUCUUCCACAAUGGGCGAAAGCCUGAUGGAGCGACGCCGCGUGCAGGAUGAAGGCCUUCGGGUUGUAAACUGCUUUUAUAAGUGAAGAAUAUGACGGUAACUUAUGAAUAAGCACCGGCUAACUACGUGCCAGCCGCCGCCGUAACA